GUACUCUCUAUGGUAGCACAUAUAUUAAAACUGGAAUAAUAUAGAGAUUAUCAUGGCCUAUGGGCAAGGAUGGCAUAUAAAUUCAAUAAGCAUUUCAUAUUUUA